rnacentral:rRNA from 1 species
UACGUAGGUGGCAAGCGUUGUCCGGAUUUACUGGGCGUAAAGAGCGCGCAGGCGGUCGUUCAAGUCGCGUGUGAAAGCCCCCGGCUCAACUGGGGAGGGUCACGCGAUACUGAUCGACUGGAAGGCAGGAGAGGGUAGUGGAAUUCCCGGUGUAGUGGUGGAAUGCGUAGAUAUCGGGAGGAACACCAGUGGCGAAGGCGGUUGCCUGGGGCUUUGCUGACGCUGAGGCGCGAAAGCGUGGGGAGCGAUCCGG